GACGAACGCUGGCGGCGUGCUUAACACAUGCAAGUCGAACGGAAAGGCCCUGCUUUUGUGGGGUGCUCGAGUGGCGAACGGGUGAGUAACACGUGAGUAACCUGCCCUUGACUUUGGGAUAACUUCAGGAAACUGGGGCUAAUACCGGAUAGGAGCUCCUGCUGCAUGGUGGGGGUUGGAAAGUUUCGGCGGUUGGGGAUGGACUCGCGGCUUAUCAGCUUGUUGGUGGGGUAGUGGCUUACCAAGGCUUUGACGGGUAGCCGGCCUGAGAGGGUGACCGGCCACAUUGGGACUGAGAUACGGCCCAGACUCCUACGGGAGGCAGCAGUAGAGAAUAUUGCACAAUGGGCGGAAGCCUGAUGCAGCAACGCCGCGUGCGGGAUGACGGCCUUCGGGUUGUAGACCGCUUUCGCCUGUGACGAAGCGUGAGUGACGGUAAUGGGUAAAGAAGCACCGGCUAACUACGUG
rnacentral:rRNA from 1 species